GCGGUGGAGCAUGUGGUUUAAUUCGAAGCAACGCGAAGAACCUUACCAAAUCUUGACAUCCUCUGACCCCCCUGGAGACAGGGGUUCCCUUCGGGGCAGAGUGACAGGUGGUGCAUGGUUGUCGUCAGCUCGUGUCGUGAGAUGUUGGGUUAAGUCCCGCAACGAGCGCAACCCUUAUGACUAGUUGCCAGCAUUCAGUUGGGCACUCUAGUGAGACUGCCGGUGACAAACCGGAGGAAGGUGGGGAUGACGUCAAAUCAUCAUGCCCCUUAUGAUUUGGGCUACACACGUGCUACAAUGGACAGGUACAAAGGGCAGCGAGACCGCGAGGUUGAGCGAAUCCCAUAAAACUGUUCUCAGUUCGGAUUGGAGUCUGCAACUCGACUCCAUGAAGCUGGAAUCGCUAGUAAUCGUGGAUCAGAAUGCCACGGUGAAUACGUUCCCGGGUCUUGUACACACCGCCCGUCACACCACGAAAGUCAGUAACACCUGAA
rnacentral:rRNA from 1 species